AGUGCUGCCUCCUGCCCACGGCCGGCGAGGCUUAGCCCGCCGGGGGCUGUGCGUCUACAGACCGGAGCGGUACAGCUCGGUGGCUGUUGCUCGAGGGGCGGAAGCAGGGCUCAGAUCUCCGGGCUGCUGGGACGGAGCCUCCCGGGAGGAAGUCUCAGCCCGGAGCGUGCCUGGCAGCGCACGCCCCAGGCGAGCAUGUGCGGGGUGGCGGAGCAGGAGGACGUAGAUGUCCGCGGGCGCGUCCCCAGGGCGCAUCAGGCUGUCCUGCGGGGCUGGCGGGAAAGCCGGUCCAGCGGAGAGCGGUCGCAAGGUCACCCUCGGCGAGCCAGUGCCUAAAGCCCUUUAACCCGUCGGGCGGGACCCUACAGGCUGUGUCCGCCGCACUCCGGCUGUGCCAGGGAGGAAAGACGUGCUGAGAUCAGAAACACUGAAAGUCCACCUACGGGCGGGGGUAACUCGGUGGAUGACGAGCCGCCCGGGGACUGUGACCGAAAUGCUCCCACAUGCUCUCGCGGGGCUCGGGGUCCCAGACUGGGCUCUGCACCAAGAAGAGGCAGUAGGAUUUCUCUGUGUAGCCCUGGCAGUCCUGGAACUCACUUUGUAGACCAGCUGGCCUGGAACUCAGAAAUCCGCCUGUGAAAAACCAAAAAAAUAAAUAAUAAUAAUAACGUAAAAUAAAAGAAGGAGGGGGAGAAGGAAGAAGAAGAGACAGUAGGAGACCUGCACGUGUCCUGACCCCUGCCUGCCUGGACUUUAUCCCAGGCCUGUGGCGAUCUGUAGGAAGAGGAGCUGCAACUCUUGCUGCCAGAAGGGGCUGUUUCUUCAUCUGUGACUCUCACAGACCAGUCGCUAAUAUUACAGGCACAGAUCACAAGAGCAUCUCGAUAUGUUAGGUACUGGGAUUUUAUGUGAUUUUUUCUGAAAUAAAAAUGCAACAUAAUUAAA
rnacentral:lncRNA from 1 species